rnacentral:rRNA from 1 species
AGUGGCGAACGGGUGAGUAAUACAUAAAUAAUCUGCCCAUUGGACUGGGAUAACUAUUGGAAACGAUAGCUAAUACCGGAUAGGUGAUUUGAAGGCAUCUUCGAAUCAUUAAAGUAGGGUCACUACACCAAUGGAUGAGUUUAUGGCGCAUUAGUUAGUUGGCGGGGUAACGGCCCACCAAGACGAUGAUGCGUAGCCGACCUGAGAGGGUGACCGGCCACACUGGGACUGAGACACGGCCCAGACUCCUACGGGAGGCAGCAGUAGGGAAUUUUCGGCAAUGGGCGCAAGCCUGACCGAGCAACGCCGCGUGAGUGAUUAAGGCCUUCGGGUUGUAAAGCUCUGUUGUAAGGGAAGAACAUUCAGGAUAGGAAAUGAUCUUGAACUGACGGUACCUUACCAGAAAGCCACGGCUAACUACGUGCCAGCAGCCGCGGUAAUACGUAGGUGGCAAGCGUUAUCCGGAAUUAUUGGGCGUAAAGGGUGCGUAGGCGGUUUAUUAAGUCUAUGGUGAAAGUGCGGGGCUCAACCCCGUAUGGCCAUAGAAACUAGUAGACUUGAGUGCAGGAGAGGGCAAUGGAAUUCCAUGUGUAGCGGUAAAAUGCGUAGAUAUAUGGAGGAACACCAGUGGCGAAGGCGGUUGCCUGGCCUGUAACUGACGCUGAGGCACGAAAGCGUGGGGAGCAAAUAGGAUUAGAUACCCUAGUAGUCCACGCU